AUGUUACCGGAGGGGUGGUUGGUGGUUGUGUUGGGUUGUUGGUUAUUUUCCCUCACGCUUCUAAUUGCGGCUUAUCAGGCGGCUGGCAGGAGCUGGCGGUGCUGCCUAGUGGGCAUGCAGGAGGCUGGGUUCUCCGGGGGCAGGGGACGAUCUCCCAGUGCCUCUCUGGGCUGCCCUUACCCUCCUGGGGAGCAGCAGGCAGAGCUGGAACCAUGGCUCCACAUGAUUUUUGGGACCCCUUGGCAGCCGAUUGCUCCAGCGGCUCAUUGCUCACCCUGCGGUGUAAUAUUCCUUCGGGAGCUGUCUCUGUCUGUGGGUAGUGAGCGCUCUGGACCCUGCUGUUAUUGUCCCGGUGUGCGGCCUUGUCGCUUGGCCUUCCUCUCCCUCGUGGCUUCAGCCUCUGCCACCACUCUGAGGCGGUGUCGGAACUUCCUUCUUCAUAGUCUAAUUGUGAGCUUAACUGCCUGGCUUUGAAGCAGAACGUACUAUAAACUGCAGAAGCAAAUAAGUUUUGAUUUGAUGAAUAGACUUCAUGAGCCUUCCUAUGAAACUGCCGGCUCCGGAAAUUAUGGGUAGCUGAUAGACAAAUGAGUGUUACAAUACAUUUAAAUACACCUCCAUUUUUUGUAUGUAUCGACUUGGAUUCAUGCAGCUGCCUUUUGAGACGCAUUUAUUCUUCCCCUCUGAGUGGGUGAUUAAAAAAAAAAAAAAAAACCUCAAGAGAUCCAUGGAUUUAUUCAGUAAACUCUUGUUAAAUCUCAUUUGGGCUAUGGAGUUUUCUGCUCCCUUAAUGGUGAAAGGAAAAACUUUACCCCCAGAAUCAAAUCUCUUCUCAAUUUUGCUUCUACUUCAAGACCAAUGGGAUGAAAAUGAGGGCAUAUGGAAUAUUUUCAGGCCUCAGAAUAGAUUUAUAUUUCAUAUGGACAUGGGCUUUAGCUGAGUCUUAUUUUAUCAUCUGUUCUUAACCUAAUGAUGAGGCCAAGGAGCAAAGUUUGGAUCCAGUUUUGGAGGGGGAAAGUAUGUGUUGCGAUGAAGGCUGUAUUUGUGAUGGUGUUAAGCUUUCUGGCUAAAUUUAGAAAGUCUGCUUUAAGAUUCAGAAAUGACAUUUUUGUACAAAGCAUUGAUACAUAAAUCUGUAUACUUUCUGAAUAUAUGGAUUUCAUUUAGAGAUUUGACAGCCAGAAUUGAAAACACUUAGCUAUGACAGAAUAUUACCCUGUUAAAUAUCAGCGAGAAAAGAGAAGAAUUAGCAAAGAUGGGAACCAGAUGCAAGAGCAUGCUCUGGACUGAUCCCAGUGUUGGAGGGGAGUGCUUCCUCUCUCGCCCCUGCGCUGGCCCUUCUGCACCGACGCUCAGCAGCUUCCCUGUGGCUUUCCCUGCAGACAGCUGCCCUGACAGCAUCGCGGCCCUGCUGCCUCAGGAAGGAGAGCCAUGAGGAUCAAGGUCUUGCUUACAUUUCAAAUGUCGCUCUGCCCAUUGUGUUGGGAGAGAAAUAUCUACAUGUGUAAAAAUCCAACAGCUUUUCAAGUUGGUCCUAACGUUGAAAGCUUCCUUGUCUGUUUUCCCGUAGUACUUGCCUUCGAGAGAGAUGUCUGCCUGCUGUAAGGGGCAAUUACUUGCUCUGACUGAGAUGGUUUUCGGUGCUUAAAACAAUGCUUAACAAGUGCCUAACAGCUCUGUGCGGUGUUUUCAGGAAUCGCUCUGUAGCGACAGGGGGAAGGAACAAGCAAAGGCAGAGCAUGCUCUGCUUUCUGCCUGACUUGAGAUAAAUGACAGUAAUCACAGAGACGGUAAUCUGGCCUUUUCUGCUCUGCCCACCUGCUGCUGCUGUUGCCAUGCUCUGCACUCUGCUGCCAUCCUCCGUGACAGCGGUGUCUCCAGCUCAGUGCUGCCGGGGAUAACUCGGGGUGGCAAAACCCGUGGUCCUGCGCUGCCAGAGGGGCAAAGAGCUAGGCUGGGGGCGACGCUUGAGCUAGCAGGCAGUGCUUUAACUGCAGAGGUAGCUGGGGGUGUGGAAGGAAAGAUUUUCUACCUGGAACUCUGACCCUUCGAUGGGGAGAGGAAGGGGCAUUGUUGCAAGUCCAGAAAUAUUGAAAAGUAGAUUACCAUAACAACCUGUGUGUUUUAUUCUUAUUAAUAAUAACUGCUAAUGGUAAAUUCAAGAAUAUGACUCCUGCUGGAUGUAACAGAUUGCAAAACGUGGAGGGGAUAUGGAGACCAGGAUAAUGAGAGAGCAGGGUGAAGAGCUGCAAGUUGUAGGACGUGCAGGUCUCUCAUAGCUCUGAGUUCAUGAGCUGAAUGUUGAUGUAGUGUUAGGGCUAAGCAGCAGAUUUUAACCAUGCAGAGCUCUGGGGACGAGGCAGAAACUGUUCCUAGAGAUUUGGGAUGUUCCUGUCAACGGGAAGUGUGAGCCCUUAUACCAGAGUGCAGUGUAUGUGGCCACAAUUUUCUCUCAUCCAGCUAUUUUAGGCUGACCAUCAAUAGUUCAGCACAAAUAAGGAGGGUUAUAAGAAAUAUAAACACACAAGGCUUAUUCUGAGGAAAUACCAACCUAUGUUGUUUUGUGUGUCUGUAUAUAUACAUGCAUAUUUAUAUAAAAUACAGCAUAAAAUUGUAUGCUGCCAAGAUAACAUCUAAUCAUUUUGGGCUUAUUGACUCAAACAUAUGUCACGCAAAAGAUUAAUUUUCCCCUGUAGAUAAACUAGAAUUGACCUUAAAAUGCAAAAUAAAAGCAGUGGCUGUCCCUACUUAUGUAUCUUU
ensembl:lncRNA